rnacentral:rRNA from 1 species
UACGUAGGGGGCAAGCGUUGUCCGGAAUCAUUGGGCGUAAAGCGCGUGUAGGCGGUUAGGUAGGUCCGUUGUGAAAACUCGAGGCUCAACCUCGAGACGCCGAUGGAAACCAUCUGACUAGAGUCCGGAAGAGGAGAGUGGAAUUCCUGGUGUAGCGGUGGAAUGCGCAGAUAUCAGGAAGAACACCAACGGCGAAGGCAGCUCGCUGGGACGGUACUGACGCUGAGACGCGAAAGCGUGGGGAGCGAACAGG